CCCUUAGAUGUUCUGGGCUGCACGCGCGCUACACUGAUGCGUUCAACGAGUGUAUCACCUUGCCCGAUAGGGUUGGGUAAUCUUUUGAACACGCAUCGUGAUGGGGAUAGAUUAUUGCAAUUAUUAAUCUUCAACGAGGAAUUCCUAGUAAUGAUGAAUCAUCAGUUCAUCGUGAUUACGUCCCUGCCCUUUGUACACACCGCCCGUCGCUACUACCGAUUGAACGGUUUAGUGAGGGCCUCGGAUUGGUCUCGGCCCGCUCUUUACCGGGCGGCGCCGUUGGUCGAGAAGACGCUCGAACUUGAUCGUUUAGAGGAAGUAAAAGUCGUAACA
rnacentral:rRNA from 1 species